AUGAACGCUGGCGGCGUGCCUAAUACAUGCAAGUCGAGCGAACAGAUAAGGAGCUUGCUCCUUUGACGUUAGCGGCGGACGGGUGAGUAACACGUGGGUAACUUACCUAUAAGACUGGAAUAACUCCGGGAAACCGGGGCUAAUGCCGGAUAACAUGUUGAACCGCAUGGUUCUACAGUGAAAGGCGGCUUUGCUGUCACUUAUAGAUGGACCCGCGCCGUAUUAGCUAGUUGGUGAGGUGACGGCUCACCAAGGCAACGAUACGUAGCCGACCUGAGAGGGUGAUCGGCCACACUGGAACUGAGACACGGUCCAGACUCCUACGGGAGGCAGCAGUAGGGAAUCUUCCGCAAUGGGCGAAAGCCUGACGGAGCAACGCCGCGUGAGUGAUGAAGGUCUUCGGAUCGUAAAACUCUGUUAUUAGGGAAGAACAAAUGCGUAAGUAACUGUGCGCGUCUUGACGGUACCUAAUCAGAAAGCCACGGCUAACUACGUG
rnacentral:rRNA from 1 species